GACGAACGCUGGCGGCGUGCUUAACACAUGCAAGUCGAGCGGUAAGGCCCUUUCGGGGGUACACGAGCGGCGAACGGGUGAGUAACACGUGGGUGACCUGCCCUCAGCUCUGGGAUAAGCCUGGGAAACUGGGUCUAAUACUGGAUAUGACUCCACGGUGCAUGUCGUGGGGUGGAAAGCCUUGUGCGGCUGAGGAUGGGCCCGCGGCCUAUCAGCUUGUUGGUGGGGUGANGGCCUACCAAGGCGACGACGGGUAGCCGGCCUGAGAGGGCGACCGGCCACACUGGGACUGAGACACGGCCCAGACUCCUACGGGAGCAGCAGUGGGAAUCUUGCGCAAUGGGC
rnacentral:rRNA from 1 species